GGGGCUGAGGCUCAGUGGUAGAGUGCUUACCUGGCAUGUGUGAGGCCCUGGGUUCGCUCUGCAGCACCG
rnacentral:tRNA from 1 species